rnacentral:rRNA from 1 species
UACGAAGGGGGCUAGCGUUGCUCGGAAUCACUGGGCGUAAAGCGCACGUAGGCGGAUUGCUAAGUCAGGGGUGAAAUCCUGGAGCUCAACUCCAGAACUGCCUUCGAUACUGGCGAUCUUGAGUCCGGAAGAGGUGAGUGGAACUCCGAGUGUAGAGGUGAAAUUCGUAGAUAUUCGGAAGAACACCAGUGGCGAAGGCGGCUCACUGGUCCGGUACUGACGCUGAUGUGCGAAAGCGUGGGGAGCAAACAGG